rnacentral:rRNA from 1 species
UACGUAGGGGGCAAGCGUUGUCCGGAAUCAUUGGGCGUAAAGAGCGCGUAGGCGGCCCGAUAAGUCCGCUGUGAAAGUCCAGGGCUCAACCCUGGAAUGCCGGUGGAUACUGUCGGGCUCGAGUUCGGAAGAGGUGAGUGGAAUUCCUGGUGUAGCGGUGAAAUGCGCAGAUAUCAGGAAGAACACCUAUGGCGAAGGCAGCUCUCUGGGACGGUACUGACGCUGAGGUGCGAAAGCGUGGGGAGCAAACAGG